rnacentral:rRNA from 1 species
UACGGAGGAUGCAGGCGUUAUCCGGAUUUAUUAGGUUUAAAGGGUGCGCAGGCGGCCCGAUAAGUCAGUGGUGAAAGUUUGCAGCUUAACUGUAAAAUUGCCAUUGAUACUGUCAGGCUUGAAUGUGGUAGAGGUAGGCGGAAUGUGUAGUGUAGCGGUGAAAUGCUUAGAUAUUACACAGAACACCGAUUGCGAAGGCAGCUUACUAUGCCACUAUUGACGCUGAGGCACGAAAGCGUGGGGAGCGAACAGG